AGUGAACGCUGGCGGUAGGCCUAACACAUGCAAGUCGAACGGCAGCACAGUAAGAGCUUGCUCUUACGGGUGGCGAGUGGCGGACGGGUGAGGAAUACAUCGGAAUCUACUUUUUCGUGGGGGAUAACGUAGGGAAACUUACGCUAAUACCGCAUACGACCUACGGGUGAAAGCAGGGGAUCUUCGGACCUUGCGCGAUUGAAUGAGCCGAUGUCGGAUUAGCUAGUUGGCGGGGUAAAGGCCCACCAAGGCGACGAUCCGUAGCUGGUCUGAGAGGAUGAUCAGCCACACUGGAACUGAGACACGGUCCAGACUCCUACGGGAGGCAGCAGUGGGGAAUAUUGGACAAUGGGCGCAAGCCUGAUCCAGCCAUACCGCGUGGGUGAAGAAGGCCUUCGGGUUGUAAAGCCCUUUUGUUGGGAAAAGAAAGCAGCAGGUUAAUACCCCGCUGUUCUGACGGUACCCAAAGAAUAAGCACCGGCUAACUUCGUG
rnacentral:rRNA from 1 species